AAAAUACUCAAAAUUGUUUGACAUAUACGUCAUUCUCAAAUUUUUAAAUAAAAAUUAAAAAAAAAAAAAUUUAUAAUCAAAUUAUCCUCGUAAAAUUCUUUUAAAAACGCUCUAACCAUUUACUGUGAUUUCUAAAUCUUGUUAAACCUUUUUCGGGCGAAUUCAAAAUCUUCUUGAACAUUUUGUGUUUAUCGCAACAUUUAUAAGGCCUUACAAUCAAUAGCUUGCGGUAGUUUUUUGUCUAAGGUUCCUAUUUUUCAACUCUAUAUUGGGCGCUAUGUAGAUAAGUUUCCAAAAAAUUGAUAUACAUUUAUACGACUCGACAAAGGAUUUACCAUAUUGGAAGGACCUGUUAGUACAACUGCUUGUUUUAAGCAGAGGUUGGAGAUAUCUCCUGAUCCUAAGCAAAAUAAAAAAUUUUAACAAAAGAUGAUAGUUAGACAAAUAGCGCGCAAAGUGAAGGUGUAAAUAAAAUCAUAAGAGCAGUUUGAAACCUUGUUAAUUCAUCUAUCUCCAUAUAAAUAUCCUUCUCGAAUACAAAACCUAUAUGCAUGAGCAUUGACGCAGCUAAUUUCUACAUUGUUCGCACCCUUGUCCAAACUUCAAAACCCACACCGCGGCUACGUGUGAUUAUUGCGCAGCUCAAUGUCAAGUGCUGGGGUAGUAAUUGUCACCCUUCUCACAGGAUUACUUACGCCUCAAAAGUGCAAAUAAUAAAUAAAAGAUGAAUCUAAUGAUUUAAAUUAAAAAUUGAAAAAAAUACAAAACUUUACAACCCCUGCAAAGUGAUUUUUGCAAUAAAUGCACGGAACAGCUUAAAGGGGCUGGUGCAAGAAUGAACAAAAGGGGGACUUUUCUGCGACUAAAUUGCCAUAGAAGAAAUUUAGAUUUUUUUGUGAAAAAAUGAGAAUGAACGACUGCAUAAAUCGGUUUAAUUUUGCAAGAAUAAAAAAUGUAAAAA